rnacentral:lncRNA from 10 species
GUGCUGACAGAACUACAGAAAAAGAGAAGGUCCCUAGAGUUUGACCUGAGGCCACUUGGGACUGUUUGGCCUGCAGAGGGAAGAAGAGGAAAGGAAAAGGGUGGAACAGUCAGAGCAGCAAUAAAGGCAUCAAAUAGUUGGAAUCAUACAUACAUAUCCUUUUCAGAUUGGCUCCUUUCACUUGGUAACAUGCAUUUAAGAUUCCUCCUUGUCAUUUCACAGCUUGAUAGCUCAUUUCUUCUUAAUGCUAAAUAAUAAUUCAUUGUCUGGAUGAACCAAAGUUUUUUAUCUGACAUUCAGCUAUUGAAGGAUAUCUUGGUUGCUUUCUAGUUUUAGCAAUUAUGAAUAAAGCUGUUAUAAACAUCUGAUGCAGGUUUUUGUAGGAAGAUAAGUUUUAAACUCCUUGGACAGAUGCCAAAGAGCAUAAUUGCUAGAUUAUGUGUUCCUGUUCAGCUUUGUAAGAAACUGAAGAAACUGCCAAAUUGUCUUCCAAAGUGGAUGUGACAUUUUGCACCAGUAAUGAAUGAGUCUCAUUGUUGCUUUAAUUUGCAUUUCCCUGAUAACAUGUGAUAUGGAGCAUCUUUUCAUAUGUUUGUUUGCCAUAUGUAUAUCUUCUUUGUGAGAUGUCUGUAAAAGUCUCUGACCCAUUUUUAUAUCCAGUAGUUCAUAUUCUUGUUGAGUUUUAAGAAUUCUUUGUAUAUUUUGGAUAAUAG